UGUCUGGUUAAAUUUAAAUUUCUGAUAAACAAUGAUUCAUUUUUUUAGUAUGAGUCUGCAUCAUGCAAUAUUUGGGACAUACUUAUAUUAAAAUAUGAUUCAUUGUAGAUCUGAAAUUCACAUUUAAUUAGAUG
rnacentral:miRNA from 1 species